CGCUGCCCCUUUAAGGCAGCGCAGCCCCGCGCGCAUUCCAGCGGCCGCGUCACCGUUCCGGGAAGCGGGUGGCGUCACCCCGCCAUCCCUCCCUCCCUCCUUCCCUCCCGCUGUCCGUCCCGUGGCGGCGGGGCGGGCCCCGGGGAACAAAGGCGGGAUAAAAAUAGAAGACAGGGUAAGAACUUGCUCUUCACAGAGUUCCUCCUUUGGCUCCUGUGGUGUAAAGCUACAUGUACCUCCUGCUACAUGGGGAAAAAAUUGCAAAAGAAUUAAAAUUCAAGAGGCCUGGAUUUAUUUGAAGUAACACCAACAGAGAUCUGGGAUAAUUCCAUUAACAGCACUGCAGUCAUGCUGUUUCCAAAAGGAUAUCUAAAGUACCAUGAGGAAUUUACACACACUGCCUCCAACAGGACUUGCAAUAAAAUGAGCUACAGUAUUGUAGAAUAAUGGUUUGUAACUAUUUUCCUAUGUAUUAAAGCUUCCCAUAAAUACAUAUUACUUGGAUCAACAUGGGGUAAACCAUACUUACUUCAGCUGAAUGAUGAAGCACCACAAAGCGAUAUAUCUUUGGAGUGAGGAAAGUUAGAGAUCCACAGAGUAGCAUUCUUGAUGCUAUAACCAUCCUGGGGUGCCACCAGCCCAAAUGUCCAGUCAACAUUACCUUCCUCAAAAGGCUGGAAGUCACAGCAGGGAUAAAAGUCACAAGGAAUUAAAGGAAAACACCGGCUUAUUUAACAGCUAGGAAGCCUGUCAUUAAGGAUGGCAAAGCUGUAACAAAACUAGAGCUGUACCUUCAUUUCUGUGUCCCAGGUCACCUCUUCAUUGGGUAAACUCCAGCCUUCUUUCUUAAACUGCAAUGGGCAUAAUUUAAAGACAAAAUGGGGAAAAUUGUUAAGUUAUGGACUGAACAGCAGCAGUGUGAUUUUCCAUGAAUCCAGGCACCUGCAAGGUAUCAAAGGCAAAGGCAUCAUAUUUUUGGAAAAUGAGACUGAGGUUGUCAAGCAAGGAGCCAGCAGUAUGGGCUGUUUAAUUCAUGCUGAUUUCCCCAGAACUGUGUCCAAGGAGGAUGUCACACUUUUCUCAAGUUCAACCUUAUCUCUGAGAGCAUCAGCAAGUUUCACCUCUUCUGAAAGAGUACCCUCCUGUGAUUUAUUUAGAAUCUCCUGCUGUAGUUUUACUCCCCUUCCUUUGCUCUGCCUCACAUCAUUGUAUUCCACUGAUACACAGUGGAACACAUAUGAACCUUUCAACAGCCUGUUUUCUUCCAGCUGCAAGACAUGCUAAACUCAAAGGAGACCACUCAGAGGAAUGGGAAAGAAUUUAGGGACAAUAAUAGUAUUUAAUGUGUAGAGUCACAGAGGCUCAGCACAUACCAAACAUCCCUGCUAAACUCAUGUUCCGAAAAUCCUUUCAAGUUCACUAGAAUUGAUAAGUUGGUCUUUUACACACAUUAAUACUGAGAGUUUUCCAGAUAUCCCUACAAGCUCAUUUUGCCUAUCAUUUUUGUUGUUAUUUGUGACCAGUUUGAGAAAUACAUGGAAUACAACAUGUUUUAAAAGACUGUAAGACUGUUGCCUUUGUCUAAAUUGCUGGAUCUGUCUGUUGUGAAUCUCAGGUGCAUGUUUGUCUUUGUGUAACAUGAAAAUACUUCACAAAAACCUUGAAAAUCCUACUGCCCUAUUCUUAAAAGGUCUUGCAUCUAUUUUAAACUACAGAGCAUAGUUAAAUAAUAAAUAAGGAAAAAUCCUUGAAAUGCCUGAGGCACUUCCAAGAUGUAUUACCUUAAUUUAAACAUGUAAUCCUUUUGAUUACCACUUUUACCUUAGGUAUACUUAGGUGUGCUGCACAGUUCAGAAUUAACACUUUGCUUUUUUGUGGAACAGUAUUUAUUCUUAUUAGUGACAUUUUUAGGAGUUUUGCUCAAACUUAAAAAUUAAUAAAGGGAUAACUGUAAUGAAUAAUUUUGAAUUUGCCUGGACUUUUAUCUGCAGUGUAAAAUAAAGCUCCCAACGAGGCAAAUAACCUUCCUAGGAUACUCUUGAUCUGCCAUGGCUAUUUUGAACCAGUUAUCAUUUUAAUCUAUAAAGUUACACUCCAGGCAGUGAAUUGCUUGGUAACUAAGUUCUGUGUAUCCAACAUAAAUGAUUUUAGAAUCCCUGCAAAGCAACACAUAACAAGGCACAAGGAAGUUUUCAGUCAUCAUCUUAUUCUGUCUGCCCAAACUGGCUGAAGCAAGUGCUACCUUUGAGGAUUUUUUUUUCCAUUCAAAGAUUUUGUUGCCUACAACAGAAGGGUGAAAGCUCUAAGUUUCAGCUCUACAUUCUGACAUUCCUACUAGCUUAGGCCUAGCUUGAUUCAGUUCAUGUGUUUGACAUUUUGUAUGCCACUGUCUGAGUUGUUGCAAUCUUUAAAACCCCAGGAGAUAUGCCAAGAAGUCGAUUACAAUUUUCACAAUGCAAGGGUUUAGAUUCAAGACUUUUUCAAGGCUUUAUCUGUUGCCUUUUCAAUAUGGGAAAACUUUCAGCAAAAUCUGGAAGGUAAAAUAUAGACCCUGGGACAGUGAUUUCUUUUCCUUUUUCAGAGAGGUUUCUUUAAGUAGAGGGAAAAUUAGGUCAUAUUUUGAUUUCUCUUGGCUGGCUUAUCUCCAACGUGGCGUGCACCCAGUUUCUUGUAAACUUUUAACUUCUCAGAAGGAUAAUAUCUUAUGUCAGAAUGAUAAAGAGUUAUGUCAAGAAGUACUGCAGAACAUGGUAAGCUGAACAUUCAUCAACACUACAAAAUUUCUGAUAGCAACAGCUACAAAUAACUUACAGGAAACAUUAAAAGAAAAUGUUUAUUCAAGAGUACUUCCUGUAGCUCUGCAAUUCAUCCAGGUGCACAAGCUCCAUUUUUCACAGCACAUUCAUCUCUGUUUCUCUUAGUUUGGCUUUCUCAUCAACAGAUUAUCCAAGCCAAGAUUUAAAUGCAAAUUUUGUAAACAAGUAAAUCAAGACUCACACUUUCUACUGAACAGGAAAAAAAGCUAAACCAGAAGGUGUUAUGUAAAGCCCAACAGAUGGAUAAGGGUACAAGUUUAUAUUACAUUGGCCAUAUGAGACAGAAGAAAAAAUAGCAAGCACUGCUAUCAGACCUGCUCUGCCAGAUCUACCUUGCCAGUAUAAAUUGUCCCAGUACACACUAAGAUAAAUUCUCAUUUCCCACCUAUUCUGUUUUCUGGGUUAGGGGGUUUUUGGACAUGCCAAGAUCAAAAUCAUGCCUAUGCUAUUAGAGUACUUCUGGCAGUGAUACCCACCUAUGAUGCUCCUAGGUCUUUGACAGUCUGAAUAUAGAGCAGAAAAAAAAUCACCUUUUGAUAUAGCACUGAUUUUUUACCAAACCAGACAGAUAACAUUGCACAUUAUAAUUAUCUGAACUGGCACUCACAGACAGAGCUCUGAGUGAAUUGUUACAAAUGUAAAAGUUUAGUGAUUUUUUUGUUUGUUUGUUUCAAAGCAUCCACAUACAAGUACUAGUUUGUUCAAAAACUGCCAUUCUGUGUAACAUGUAAAUAGCUUUCAGGUUAUAGGUUCAUGUGCAUUUUUAUGAAUAUUACUUAUGGGAUACAGAUUUGUCAUAUAAAUUGCAUGGUUUGUAUAUUUUUUCCUGUAUGGAGUGGAAAACAUUAAGCAAAGGAAUAAAUGGAUGAUGGGUAACAAAGCAUGUGACUGUCAUCACUUACGUCAGUUCUGGGAUUUCAAGAUAUCCAGUGUUCAUCUGAAAAUAUGCAAAUACUAAUCAGAGCUGCUUAGCACAUCUUCCUGAUGUGCAGCUGAAUCUGAAUGGCAGCAUUUUCACUCACAGAAGCAGUCAGAUGGUUUUUUCACUUUUUUUCCUUUCAGUUCAACCAGAUUAGCUGAAAAAUUAGCAUUGGACUUCGUAAGUGGAUCUUUUCACAUCUCUUCCAUUUUCUCUUGAGCAAAUGCAAAUUACAUUGAGCCCAUUUCAGAUAAAUAUAUUAAUGUAUAAGAGACAGAUUACA